CCGGGGGUUAGUCGGGACCUAAGGCGAACCCGAAAGGGGUAGUCGAUGGAUAACUGGUUAAUAUUCCAGUACCACCUUUAUUUUCGAUGGGGUGACGGAGUAGUGAAAGCACCGCGUACUGACGGAAUAGUACGUUAAAGGGUGUAGGUAUAGGAACUGUAGGUAAAUCCGCAGAUCUUGCUGAACCUGAUAGUACCACAAAUCUUCGGAUGCGUGGAUAGUGUGCCUAAGCAGACUUCCAAGAAAAACCUCUAAGGUUAGGAUAAAGGUGCCCGUACCGUAAACCGACACAGGUAGUCAAGGAGAGAAUCCUGAGGUGCUCGAGUGAUUCAUGGUUAAGGAACUAGGCAAAAUGGCCCUGUAACUUCGGGAGAAGGGGCGCCAGCGUGAGCUGGCCGCAGUGAAAAGACCCAGGCGACUGUUUAUCAAAAACA
rnacentral:rRNA from 1 species